rnacentral:lncRNA from 1 species
UGGUACAAAAACUGAACUAACUUAUGUCCGGAUGCUGGAUGCUUAAAGAAAAAACUCAUGGCUUGUUGAAACACAUUACUUCACUUAAAUGGUGUCUCAUUCCACAAACAUGACAGGAAAAUAUCUAGCAGAAAAAGAACUGAAAGAAAUGACUGUUGAUACUAUUUCCAAAACGAAUAAAGCUGCAGAUGAAUGUCGCAUUCAUCAACCAAGGAAGACCGGGUUGACUCAGCGCCGCCGCCGUUGGCACAUGUAGAGUGCGCCUUCAACGCCAGCCUGUUGAUCAAACCACAUCCUGUAGAGUUCGAUGCAUCUGCGAAGCAAGAAAACAGAUCUGGAGCUUGAACAUGACAGAAAAGUCUUCCGGUCAAACAAUACAGUUGCCUUUCCAUUGAGAAACAAUUUGUUUUCUUCUCCCUUCUGCUGGGGUUUUCACCUUUUAUGGGGCAUCAAUGCCGUAACAGAAAAUAGCUCAAUGGAAAUUCAAAUUGGAAAAAUACAUGGGCUAGUUCAAAUGACAUGUGCGCACAAUGUACAUGGACAAUUUUUUUUUUCAAGAAUGCGACCUAGCGGGCGCAUCAUCAAUUAAAGAAGGAGAUGGCCAGAAAGCCAGUUACAACGUCACGGAGUGGCCAAGAGGUCAAGACGGCCGUACAACGCAAAAAAGGCUACACGAUACAAACGCAACGCCACACGGAUUACAACACAUCCUACCACAACCGACGGCAAGGAUUCGCGUUGUAUCGUCUCCCGACACGAAUGGCGAGGGGGCGAUACACCGAGCUUCAAAGCCGCGUCACAACCGAAGAGGGAAACUUCCCGAGACCAACUCCAACUCCGGGAAGGCAUAAGCCAAUGCACCGCCCGCCCAUAAGCGCCUAAGAGUCGGCAAGAGAACGGCGGGACCGAACCUGACCAAAGGAGGCUUCGACCCAGAAGAAGCUUCGACGACGGCGUACAUAGCGCCCCAGAAGCUUAUGCUCCGAGCGGUGGCUGACCGACUCCAACUGUUGCACCAAGGACUCCACGAGCCACCAAGACGACGCCCCCAAGAAAGGAACGACAUGGCUGUGCCGCCGCCGCCUAAUCCAAGGAGCGGAUAAAAGGUUUCCCUCGGUGCUCGAGGCGGGGAAGAACGGGCAGCGCCAUGAUGACGCCUCCAAGGAGGUGACGGUGCCCGUGGGCGUCGCCGUCGUCAGCAUCACGCAGGGAUUUCUCCUGACCCUGCCGUCAGCCCCGACGCCCAUCACACUGAAGAGACCGCCCCCGUACGCGGGUUCGAUCUCUGUGCUUUUAGUACUAGUCCCUGUAUCGACUCACCAGCACACACAAUUUCAAGAUGUAAUAUCAUAGAACAAAGGUUUCAAUAUUACAACGCAUCAUCCAGAAUUUAAAAGUACUUACAAGCUCGUAUAACCUCAUGGGUUAGCUGGAAAUAAAACAAUUGUUUAGCAGCGGAAAAACGGAAGAUACAAGGGCUACAUCAACAUCAUGGUGAGAGCGUGUUGGAAUAUAGGCCCGUAACCCAAACAAGCAAAGCGUACUCUUACUCUUCGUUGGAGCUUCCUGCAUCAUUAAAGGAUGCAACCACUAGGGUCAAUACAUUGAAUGUAUUGGUAAGAUCACUAGGGGUUAUAUCAAAAUUUACCAAGUAUAUGCAUAAUGUGGCAAAGUGGGGUUCAAGGCUAUUUGCAUAAAAGCUUAGUUGUAUUGUCCUAUCUUUUAAUCAAAUAGAAUUUUAUCACUAUUGGACAUAGGGUAGACAUACCCAUGCUCUUAUUAAACUAAGGACAUUGAGUAGACACAUCAAUGCUCCUAAACCCAAGUUCAAACCAUUCCUUUUAUUUGAAAAUUAGAAUGAGUGAGAUUUUCCUUACAGCUCCACAUCCAGUUGCUCAAAAUUUGUCCAUUACCGAGGACACGGCUAAGUACUUAGUUUUGACGCUCUCGAGAGUUUGUACACAUUCCCCACAAGAAACCGACAGGUUAAUCUCUUGCUGUCCUCGGGGUAGAGUAGCAACGGCGUCGAUUACGAGAUUUUCAGAGGUAAUUCCCUAAACCACGAGAGAAUCAUGCCCCCCUACACAUUCUACCUCAGUACAAUUCCUUGGGUCUAGGUUCAUACAACUUACUCUUGUCUCGCCAGAGCUCAUAUAGCAUUGUGGUUGUACUGGAAGCUACUAAAUAGGAAACUAGUCCAGUCUCAGUUACCUCAGGCGGCAUUCCACAGUUGCAAUGUAGGCGCUCCCCGAAUCCACGGGAGAUACGUCCAUGGACGAUCCCUUUCCGAAUCCACGGAAAGUCGACUCAGAGGGACCCAUAGAAAUGGACCUGACGCCGCUAAUCCUCAAAAUUCUCAAAGCCGCCCACCCAGGAUGGUUCAUUGAAUUAAUUGUUUUGCCUUACUCUUGUAAAACAUUUCUUUUCUCCAUAGGCAUAAUAAUAUCAUAAUGUAUUAAUAUCCCCCACGAUACUAUCAUAGCCUAGCAUUCAACUACAAUCGAUGGCAAUUUGGUAGCAGGGUAAUGACAAGGGUAAACUAUACUACCUGGGAUUUAUAGCUAGCAUAGAGGUACGAGUAAUAUUCCUAAUGCAUCUAAUAAAACAACUAGUGCAUAGUAAAAAUAUUUGGGAGAUGAUCAAAGUGAACUUGCCUUGUCCAAGGUUGUGGUAGUUCUCGCACUCUUCGCAACAACAAGGUUCACAAUCCACACAAUCUAAAAUAAAAGAAAGCACACACACAAUAAACAUGCCAUUCAAUACAAAACAUGCUAUGAUGCAUAUGUCAUGACGAUGCACACAUAGGUUGCUUCUAAAUGUGACAUGUUUAGUUUUCUGUUUUGAAAAGCUUCACAAAAGAUUUGGACAGAUUAUACAAUAACAAAGAGGUACUUAUUUUGUAUGAAACAAGGAUGGGCUUUAAUUAAAAGCUUAUAUGAUUUUUGUAAAGCAUGGAGCAAGAUAAAUUUGUGUGGCCAUAUCAUUUACAAAAUAAUUUCCUUUCUGGUCCUAAUGGACAGAGAACAUACUCAAAUUAUUUUUCAGCAAGCUAACAUGCUCAAAACUAGUUUGAAAUAAUUCAUUUGAAUAUUAAACCAUAAUUAAGCAUUCUGUAAUUUGUUUCUGGUAAAGUUAUUCAAAGUUAAAAUUAUAUUAUGCCAAAAGAUUAUGCAGGUUAUGAGGAUUCCAUAAAGGUAUAGAACUUCAAAUUUGGCCAAACGGUUUGAGAGAUAUGAUGGUUUGAAGUUUCAGGGGCUUUUUUGCAAAGUUACUUUUUAAUUCGGCCGAGAAAUAAAUUUUAAUUUUAUACGGGACACGUGGAGCUAUCCUAUAGGCUGGUACCGGUUCGGUUAGGGUUUUAAUCUCAGCCGUUCAUGGAGAUCCGACGGCAGAGAGGGGAGACGGCUCACCGGGCGGCGCUAGGGUUCGUCGAAGACGAGGAAGACUGCUGCGGCGACAGCACGGCGACUCGGGCGGCAGUUCGGCUCGGGGAAGUAGGGGAACGGGUGCGGCUCGGCGAAGCGGUCCCAGCGGGGGUCGCGGCUUUGCUCGGGGAGCUCGAACGCGACGUCAAGGACGACGAAGGGCGGCGGCCGGCGGCGACGGCCUCUGGUCUGCGGCGGUCCAAAACAGAAAACGACCGCGUCACACGGUGCGCGCGAGAGAGAGAGAGAGGAGAAGGAAGAGGGGGUCGGCCGUGCAAAAAGCUCACCGGGACGACGACGACGGCAGAGAGCUUUCUCCAGCGAGGAAUUGCGAUGAAGCGAGGGCGAAAUUGAGCGUGGGAGUUGGGGGAAAAGUGAGAGAAGAGAGGGGCUUCAAGGUGACGCGCACAGGUUUGAGGAAGGGGGCUCUGCGCGGAAGAAACGGCGCGGAGUCGUGGGCGUGCUCGUGGGUCGUGGCCGGAGAUUUCGGCCGGGCAGUUGGAGAAGAUGACGGGCGGGGCCGCAUGUCAGCGGCACAGGCGGCUCGGGCGCGCGGGGCUGGUCCAGUUUGGUCGGUUAGCAGGCCGGUUCGGCCCAUUUGGCCGGGCCGGCCGCGGUUUUUUUUUUCCUUUUUCUUUUUCUAUUUUCUGUUUUUGAACACCAAAAUUGAUUCAAAGCUCCAAAUCACUCUCAAUAAAUUGCAACAAAAUUUGUAAAAAUCAUAUUUUCAUAUGAUCUAACUUUUGGGACAAGAUUUCUCUCAAAAUAAAAUACUUAAAAAUACCUUUUCCCUAUAAAAUUAGCCUUUAAGGCCUUUUAGACUAUCAAAAUAAUUUGUUUUUCAAAACAAUUUCAAAGGCCAAAUUAUGGGAUAGGCAUAUAUAUACAUUAAAUCCCUUUUUAUGUCAAAACCCACAUGGAUUAAAAUGCAAUUAUUCAAAAGCAAGAACAAAGGCCAAAUUCAAAUAAAAGUACUUUUGUAAAAGGGUUUUCUGGGUUAAUUUUAGGGUUUUUAAAUGUGGUUAAAUGUAAGGGUGGCAUGAUGCUUAUGAAAUGCAAUGCAUAUGGAGAGUUUUGAAAAUCGGAAUGUUACACACGCAACAAGGAGCCGCCUUAGAGAAUCGAGAUCCACAUCGUCAGAGGAGUAGGAGGCUGCGCACCGUCUCAACGCCACCGAACGGGGACUGGGCGGUGUGGACCCAGCCCACCGCUGCCUGGCCGGCCGCCGGCACCACCACGGUGCAGGUGCCAACACAACAGGUUCCACGCGCACCUGGAGAAGCGCCAAGAUCCACAGGCCCGCCCAGGACCAGAUGGGCCCUACGCGGGCCCAAAGCUCUCGGCCUCCGCCAAGAUCCACAUGGGCGCCUCCGUCGACCCUGCCGACGCCGCGCCGCCGCUCCAGCCGACCGCCGCCGCCCACCAGACGGCUCCCACCGCCAUGUGCCGAGCGCCGCCGCCUCCUUGCCACCAGCAGCGCCCAAAAGAAUCUCCGCCUUCGCGCGAAGGGGAGAGGCAGGGCGCCCCUCCGUCGCCCCCCGUCUUCGACGGCCAGGCGAGGCCGCCUCCGCCAGCGCAAGGCGGCGGCAGCGGCCGGGGAGGAUUCAACCUGCGGCGGCUAGGGUUUGGGUGGUGGAGUCGCCUCCGGAGUCGCCCCGCGCGAGACGACCCGGGAGGGAAGAUGGUAAUAGCUUUGCCCCCUACAUGGACAAAUAUGGAGGACGCAUUAAUUGAACGCUAUUCUAUCUAUGACCUCCGGAAUGGUAAUAUGUCGACCAAUAUUGCCCAUCUCUUCUGCGGAAUAUAUACAGUCAAACAUGGAAAUUUUGCAAACUUGGGUGUGCGACUGCAAACCAAACGGCAUGGAUGCAAAAUGAACAAUGCAUUGCAAGUGUUGUACUCCAACAUGUAAAGUCUUCUUUACUGAAGGAAGUAGCUUUCAUUCAUGGAAUGAUCACUCCAAGAAGCUCAGUAUGUUGACGAAAACGCGUCGAGGAAAGGUGAAAAGGCACUUGAGAAAUAUGAUUGAGUGAAUAGAUUCUUAC